rnacentral:rRNA from 1 species
UACGGGGGGAGCAAGCGUUGUUCGGAUUUACUGGGCGUAAAGGGCGCGUAGGCGGCCACCGCAAGUCGGUUGUGAAAUCUCCGGGCUUAACCCGGAAAGGUCAGCCGAUACUGCGGGGCUAGAGUGCAGAAGGGGUAACUGGAAUUCUCGGUGUAGCGGUGAAAUGCGUAGAUAUCGAGAGGAACACCUGCGGCGAAGGCGGGUUGCUGGGCUGACACUGACGCUGAGGCGCGAAAGCUAGGGGAGCGAACGGG